UGGGGAAUCUUCCGCAAUGGACGAAAGUCUGACGGAGCAACGCCGCGUGAGUGAUGAAGGAUUUCGGUCUGUAAAGCUCUGUUGUUUAUGACGAACGUGCAGUGUGUGAACAAUGCAUUGCAAUGACGGUAGUAAACGAGGAAGCCACGGCUAACUACGUGCCAGCAGCCGCGGUAAUACGUAGGUGGCGAGCGUUGUCCGGAAUUAUUGGGCGUAAAGAGCAUGUAGGCGGCUUAAUAAGUCGAGCGUGAAAAUGCGGGGCUCAACCCCGUAUGGCGCUGGAAACUGUUAGGCUUGAGUGCAGGAGAGGAAAGGGGAAUUCCCAGUGUAGCGGUGAAAUGCGUAGAUAUGGGGAGGAACACCAGUGGCGAAGGCGCCUUUCUGGACUGUGUCUGACGCUGAGAUGCGAAAGCCAGGGUAGCGAACGGG
rnacentral:rRNA from 1 species